AAGGGCUAGCCGUACUGCCUGACGCCGGCUAAACUCAAUCGUACGGCUAAGCAUGUAGAUGUACCGUCGGACUCCUUUCCGGACCCGGGUUCGAUUCCCGGCGUCUCCACGA
rnacentral:tmRNA from 1 species